rnacentral:rRNA from 1 species
CGGCGGACGGGUGAGUAACACGUGGAUAACUUACCUAUAAGACUGGGAUAACUUCGGGAAACCGGAGCUAAUACCGGAUAAUAUAUUGAACCGCAUGGUUCAAUAGUGAAAGACGGUUUUGCUGUCACUUAUAGAUGGAUCCGCGCCGCAUUAGCUAGUUGGUAAGGUAACGGCUUACCAAGGCAACGAUGCGUAGCCGACCUGAGAGGGUGAUCGGCCACACUGGAACUGAGACACGGUCCAGACUCCUACGGGAGGCAGCAGCC